rnacentral:rRNA from 1 species
UUCCAGACUCCUACGGGAGGCAGCAGUGGGGGAUAUUGCACAAUGGGGGGAACCCUGAUGCAGCGACGCCGCGUGGGCGAUGGAGCGCCUCGGCGCGUAAAGCCCUAUCAGCAGGGAAGAAGAUGACGGUACCUGACUAAGAAGCCCCGGCUAACUACGUGCCAGCAGCCGCGGUAAUACGUAGGGGGCAAGCGUUAUCCGGAUUUACUGGGUGUAAAGGGAGCGCAGGCGGCACGGCAAGCCUGAUGUGAAAGCCCGCGGCCCAACCGCGGGACUGCAUUGGGAACUACCGGGCUGGAGUGCCGGAGAGGUAGGCGGAAUUCCUAGUGUAGCGGUGAAAUGCGUAGAUAUUAGGAGGAACACCAGUGGCGAAGGCGGCCUGCUGGACUGCGACUGACGUUGAGGCCCGAAAGCGUGGGGAGCAAACAGGAUUAGAUACCCGUGUA